rnacentral:rRNA from 1 species
CCUACGGGUGGCAGCAGUGAGGAAUAUUGGUCAAUGGACGCAAGUCUGAACCAGCCAUGCCGCGUGCAGGAAGACGGCUCUAUGAGUUGUAAACUGCUUUUGUACGAGGGUAAACGCAGAUACGCGUAUCUGUCUGAAAGUAUCGUACGAAUAAGGCUCGGCUAACUCCGGGCCAGCAGCCGCGGUAAUACGGAGGAUGCAAGCGUUAUCCGGAUUUAUUGGGUUUAAAGGGUGCGUAGGCGGUCGGAUAAGUUAGAGGUGAAAUCCCGAGGCUCAACUUCGGAAUUGCAUCUGAUACUGUUCGGCGAGAGAGUAGUUGCGGUAGGCGGAAUGCAUGGUGUAGCGGUGAAAUGCUUAGAGAUCAUACAGAACACCGAUUGCGAAGGCAGCUUACCAGGCUACUUCUGACGUUGAGGCACGAAAGCGUGGGGAGCAAACAGGAUUAGAUACCCGUGUAGUC